GCAGAUGUGCUGGAAUUGGCAGACAGGCGCGUCUCAGAAGCGCGUGUAGUUUUACGUACGGGUUCAAGUCCCGUCAUCUGCACCA
rnacentral:tRNA from 1 species